rnacentral:rRNA from 1 species
CAAAGGAUGAUCACUAGACUGUUGGGGCCUUCGGGCCUUGGUAGCGCAGCUAACGCGUGAAGUUGACCGCCUGGGGAGUACGGUCGCAAGAUUAAAACUCAAAGGAAUUGACGGGGACCCGCACAAGCGGUGGAUGAUGUGGAUUAAUUCGAUGCAACGCGAAAAACCUUACCUACCCUUGACAUGUCUGGAAUUCCGAAGAGAUUUGGAAGUGCUCGCAAGAGAACCGGAACACAGGUGCUGCAUGGCUGUCGUCAGCUCGUGUCGUGAGAUGUUGGGUUAAGUCCCGCAACGAGCGCAACCCUUGUCAUUAGUUGCUACGAAAGGGCACUCUAAUGAGACUGCCGGUGACAAACCGGAGGAAGGUGGGGAUGACGUCAAGUCCUCAUGGCCCUUAUGGGUAGGGCUUCACACGUCAUACAAUGGUCGGGACAGAGGGUCGCCAACCCGCGAGGGGGAGCCAAUCCCAGAAACCCGAUCGUAGUCCGGAUCGCAGUCUGCAACUCGACUGCGUGAAGUCGGAAUCGCUAGUAAUCGCGGAUCAGCAUGUCGCGGUGAAUACGUUCCCGGGUCUUGUACACACCGCCCGUCACACCAUGGGAGUGGGUUUUACCAGAAGUAGUUAGCCUAACCGUAAGGGGGGCGAUUACCACGGUAGGAUUCAUGACUGGGGUGAAGUCGUAACAAGGUAACCGAA